UACGAAGGGUGCAAGCGUUACUCGGAAUUACUGGGCGUAAAGCGUGCGUAGGCGGUGAGUUAAGUCUGUCGUGAAAGCCCCGGGCUCAACCUGGGAAUGGCGAUGGAUACUGGCUCGCUAGAGUGCGGUAGAGGAGAGUGGAAUUCCCGGUGUAGCAGUGAAAUGCGUAGAGAUCGGGAGGAACACCGGUGGCGAAGGCGGCGAUCUGGGUAGAUACUGACGCUGAGGUGCGAAAGCGUGGGGAGCAAACAGG
rnacentral:rRNA from 1 species